CCAUCAACCAGAGGCGAACUAAGCAUAACGGCAUCCUAUUCAGCCAAACGGUUGAUGGAUGAUGGACAAUGACAGGUUUCAGAUCGAAUGUUGCCUGGACUACUGAUGACCAUUCCAUGGCCUUCUGGCCAUCUUAUGCAGAUCCCAAUCAAAAUGGCAUUACUGAUGCAUGAAGUCCUUGGACCAUCGUGGACCACCCACACCAUUGUAAUUUUGGGCAC